rnacentral:rRNA from 1 species
AUUGAACGCUAGCGGGAUGCUUUACACAUGCAAGUCGAACGGCAGCGCGGACUUCGGUCUGGCGGCGAGUGGCGAACGGGUGAGUAAUGUAUCGGAACGUGCCCAGUAGCGGGGGAUAACUACGCGAAAGCGUAGCAAAUACCGCAUACGCCCUACGGGGGAAAGCAGGGGAUCGUAAGACCUUGCACUAUUGGAGCGGCCGAUAUCGGAUUAGCUAGUUGGUGAGGUAACGGCUCACCAAGGCGACGAUCCGUAGCUGGUUUGAGAGGACGACCAGCCACACUGGGACUGAGACACGGCCCAGACUCCUACGGGAGGCAGCAGUGGGGAAUUUUGGACAAUGGGGGCAACCCUGAUCCAGCCAUCCCGCGUGUGCGAUGAAGGCCUUCGGGUUGUAAAGCACUUUUGGCAGGAAAGAAACGUCGCGGGCUAAUACCCCGUGGAACUGACGGUACCUGCAGAAUAAGCACCGGCUAACUACGUG